CCUGACCUAGCGGCGGACGGGUGAGUAAUGCUUAGGAAUCUGCCUAUUAGUGGGGGACAACAUUCCGAAAGGAAUGCUAAUACCGCAUACGCCCUACGGGGGAAAGCAGGGGAUCUUCGGACCUUGCGCUAAUAGAUGAGCCUAAGUCAGAUUAGCUAGUUGGUGGGGUAAAGGCCUACCAAGGCGACGAUCUGUAGCGGGUCUGAGAGGAUGAUCCGCCACACUGGGACUGAGACACGGCCCAGACUCCUACGGGAGGCAGCAGUGGGGAAUAUUGGACAAUGGGCGCAAGCCUGAUCCAGCCAUGCCGCGUGUGUGAAGAAGGCCUUUUGGUUGUAAAGCACUUUAAGCGAGGAGGAGGCUACUGAGAUUAAUACUCUAGGAUAGUGGACGUUACUCGCAGAAUAAGCACCGGCUAACUCUGUGCCAGCAGCCGCGGUAAUACAGAGGGUGCGAGCGUUAAUCGGAUUUACUGGGCGUAAAGCGUGCGUAGGCGGCUUUUUAAGUCGGAUGUGAAAUCCCUGAGCUUAACUUAGGAAUUGCAUUCGAUACUGGGAAGCUAGAGUAUGGGAGAGGAUGGUAGCAUUCCAGGUGUAGCGGUGAAAUGCGUAGAGAUCUGGAGGAAUACCGAUGGCGAAGGCAGCCAUCUGGCCUAAUACUGACGCUGAGGUACGAAAGCAUGGGGAGCAAACAGGAUU
rnacentral:rRNA from 1 species